rnacentral:rRNA from 1 species
CCUACGGGUGGCUGCAGUGGGGAAUUUUGGACAAUGGGGGCAACCCUGAUCCAGCCAUUCCGCGUGAGUGAAGAAGGCCUUCGGGUUGUAAAGCUCUUUCAGCAGGAACGAAACGGUGGCCCCUAAUACGGGCUACUAAUGACGGUACCUGAAGAAGAAGCACCGGCUAACUACGUGCCAGCAGCCGCGGUAAUACGUAGGGUGCGAGCGUUAAUCGGAGCGACUGGGCGUGAUGCCUGCGCAGGGGGUUGAAAUCCCCGGGCUUAACCUGGGAACUGCGGGUGUGACUGUGGGACUCGAGUGUGGCAGAGGGGGGUGGAAUUCCACGUGUAGCAGUGAAAUGCGUAGAGAUGUGGAGGAACACCGAUGGCGAAGGCAGCCCCCUGGGUCAACACUGACGCUCAUGCACGAAAGCGUGGGGAGCAAACAGGAUUAGAUACCCGAGUAGUC